UAUUGCCUACGGGAGGCAGCAGUAGGGAAUCUUCCACAAUGGGCGAAAGCCUGAUGGAGCAACGCCGCGUGGGUGAAGAAGGUCUUCGGAUCGUAAAACCCUGUUGUUAGAGAAGAAAGUGCGUGAGAGUAACUGUUCACGUUUCGACGGUAUCUAACCAGAAAGCCACGGCUAACUACGUGCCAGCAGCCGCGGUAAUACGUAGGUGGCAAGCGUUAUCCGGAUUUAUUGGGCGUAAAGCGAGUGCAGGCGGUUCAAUAAGUCUGAUGUGCAAGCCUUCGGCUC
rnacentral:rRNA from 1 species